rnacentral:rRNA from 1 species
CCUACGGUAGGCAGCAGUGGGGAAUAUUGGACAAUGGGGGGAACCCUGAUCCAGCCAUGCCGCGUGUGUGAAGAAGGCCCUCGGGUUGUAAAGCACUUUCAGUGAGGAAGAACGCCUGGUGGUUAAUACCCAUCAGGAAAGACAUCACUCACAGAAGAAGCACCGGCUAACUCCGUGCCAGCAGCCGCGGUAAUACGGAGGGUGCGAGCGUUAAUCGGAAUUACUGGGCGUAAAGCGCGCGUAGGUGGCUUGAUAAGCCGGUUGUGAAAGCCCCGGGCUCAACCUGGGAACGGCAUCCGGAACUGUCAAGCUAGAGUGCAGGAGAGGAAGGUAGAAUUCCCGGUGUAGCGGUGAAAUGCGUAGAGAUCGGGAGGAAUACCAGUGGCGAAGGCGGCCUUCUGGACUGACACUGACACUGAGGUGCGAAAGCGUGGGUAGCAAACAGGAUUAGAUACCCUUGUAGUC